rnacentral:rRNA from 1 species
GUGGAUUAGAUACCCUAGUAGUCCACGCUGUAAACGAUGUGUGCUAGACGUUGGGGGGUUGCCCUCCGGUGUCGCAGUCAACGCGUUAAGCACACCGCCUGGGGAGUACGGUCGCAAGAUUAAAACUCAAAGGAAUUGACGGGGGCCCGCACAAGCGGUGGAGCAUGUGGUUUAAUUCGACGCAACGCGAAGAACCUUACCAGCUCUUGACAUGGGUAGUAUGGACCUGGGCGACUGGGUCCUUCAGUUCGGCUGGCUACCACACAGGUGCUGCAUGGCUGUCGUCAGCU